rnacentral:lncRNA from 1 species
AGCAACGAUCGGUUUGUUGGCCAACUUUAUGGUGUAUUUGUUGAAAGAAUAUCACAUGAAUCAGACGUCUGCUGCGAACAUUCUCAAUAUCUGGGGUGGCGUUACAAAUUUUGCACCUUUGCUUGGUGCCUUCAUCUCCGAUACCUAUACCGGCAGGUUUAAGACCAUUACUUUUGCUUCCAUUGCGGCUAUCCUGGUACGUUUUUUUUUUUUUUCUUCUUCCUUCUCAUUUUUUAUUUAUUUCUUCUCCCUGAUUUCAACCAUACAUAUAUAAUAUUGUAGUUUGUCCUGUAUAAUCCGAACUUUUUCUUUUCUUUUCUUUUCUUUUUUUGGGUAAAAAAAUACUUAGCUGGCGGAGCACUUUGUAACAAAAUAUCAAGGAAAGGUAGUUCAUGUGGUAUAUAAAGUUAAUUUCGUUUAAAUACUACUCACUACCACCCAUUUGUUUUUACUUUUUUGUUUAAUUUUUGCUUUGACAUCUUUUCACUUUCCUCUAUAACAUAAAAAGCUCAGAAAAGUUUAUUAUAAUUUUGAGAGUAGUGCUAGAGAGAGAGAAGUACGAGAUAAAAACGAGAGAAUUUUACUCUCUCUCUCUACUCAUUUACUCUCUAUCAUUUUCUUCAUUAUUUCUCUCGUGUUUCUCUCGUUCUUCUCAACCCUAAUCAUUUUCCUAAUUUUGAUUCUGCAUUAUUCGUUUUGGACGUAACUCUCCCUGCUCCUCAUUUAUAUCUUUUGGCCUUUUAUUAUCAAUUGGUUUUGUUAAAGGGACCCUCACAAAAUGGCCGUGGGGCCCACUUUUAAUUUUACCGUGCAAGGGCAGCUGUAAGGUGCAGAAUCUGUAAGUUAGCCUCCCUCUUGUUAGUUGUUAAAGUCCGCGUGGGCCCCAUUUGAUUACCAAACAUUUACUUAACUAACAUUUAAGGUUUUUCACAACCGUUAGAUUUUUAUUUAAAGGUUACUACGUAAUCAUCUCCAACAUUCAAUUACAUUUAAUUAAUUUGUAUAUAUUUAUUUAUUUGACGAAAUGUACAUCCUCCGAAUGAAUGACAGGGCAUGUUAACCGUGACUUUAACGGCGUGGUUACCGCAGCUGCAUCCUCCGAAAUGCGACGUGGCAAAGCCACCUUUUGGUCAGUGCAAAAGUGCAAACAGUAUGCAACUGGGUGUUCUGGUGAUGGGUCUGGGCAUGUUAUCGAUCGGCACCGGUGGAAUCAGGCCAUGCAGCAUUCCGUUU